AUAAAAAAGGUAUAUGUGCACGUUGCACCAUGAUCACGAUAAACAAGUAUGGAAAAUAAUGUUACCAGUAUACAAUAAUAAUACCUAGGAUAGAUACAUUAAUGUUAUACUAUGUACUCGUCCGACUGCAUCCAUAACCAUUGCAAUCACAUGCUCAUGUUAGAGUAAAAGGUAGUGGUAAUAGAUGUCAGGGCCAAAUCUCAGAGCCCCCCCACGAUCUCAAUUAGACCAAAUCGCGAACGAUUAAGCGCGAUUACUCUCGCGAACCUUUCAAUUCUUUUUCUUCCAUUUGCAGUCUGUAAACGCCACCAGUAAUUCCUCCUCCCUGCUGCUAUUAUUAACAUUCUAUUCUCUUACAUAAAGUCACCCUAUAUAUAUAUGCGUCAUCAUUAUAUUCCUCGAAGAAUUGCUUUCAAGAAGACGUUUCGAAAUCUAUCGAAGAAGUCUUCGAACCACAACUCAACCCGGAUCAUUCCUUUUAGGGAGUCAAGUUUGCGAAGGCGGUACUAGAUACAACGCAACAAAUCCACAUCGUCGUAAGCAAAAUGUUGAAUAGGAGGAAGAGGAAGAGGAGGAGGAGGAACACGUCACGAAUGAAAUGUUCUUGCGGCCUUUCUUCCACACUUUUAUGACGAGCUCGGACUUGUUACGGCCCUGGAGGGGGUUUUCUCCGUUGCGCUGCUAUACACUGUGCUACUACUACUACUACUACUACUACUACUACUACUACUACUACUACAUACACACUCUCGCGCAAAAAAGAAAGGAAAAAGUUGUGGGUGAACGGUGGAUCUCUCUCUCUCUUCGACAUGGUGUUACGCAGACGAGGAGAAUAUCCUGCGUAGUACAGCGUUACUUCGACGAAGAAACUAAAGGAAGAGAAAGGGCACUGCACGCGAGGUGGAGCCGCAGGUCACGCUAAUUAUAAAUAAUAAUAAUUAAAUCGAUUGAGAUAAUAAAUGUUGGCCGUUGUGUAUUCGAGGUCGGUAUCGUGUAACGAGGAAGCAAGAUAAAUUAGAAGAAAUAAAGAAAAGAAAAGAAAAAGAAACACAUGCAUGAUAAUGAAACUAAGUAUAUCGAUGUAAUACUCAAAAAAUGUAACCCCGAACGGAAACCGCAAGUCUCAGAAUCAUUUAUUCUCUAUAUUACAACUUUGUGAAUAUAUUAAUUCAAAUUAAUGUAUAUAAAACGUGUUUAAGAGUUUGUUCUAUAAUGGCGUGACGUGUUGUGUUAGACUCGUCGUCAGGACCAUUAGAAAAAUCUUACGAUUCCUUAUCUCACGUUUAAUAGAUAAACGUAAGAAGAAUAAUGGAGAAUAAGAGUCAAAUAAUAUCGGAACGCAGCCUUUAAAGAGUCAAAGCGAGCCCUCUUACGGGGGAACAGGUUCUCGGCAUGGAUACCACCGUGUAUUCACCGAGCUGAAAACCUUGGCCAACGAGCAAACGAACCGUAGAAAGAGAGAGAACGAGCUGCUGCCGUGUGCCCAUCUCUUUUUCUUUUCCUAUAUAUAUUGCUAGGAUGUCUGCCAUGGCUGCGGUCUUUCCGCAUGGUCAUACGAUACAACACAAGUCAACACGAGACUCCUAAAGCAAACUCAUACAAAAGCAGCUUCUUUCAAUCGAAAAUUCGUGGUAAUAUGAGAGAGAGAACUAUUUUUGUUAACUUCAUCGUUACACAUUCCACGCAUAAUUUAAUGUUUUUUUCCUUUUUUUUUUCUUUCUUUCUUUAUUCUUUACAAGAACAAUCUGAUAAUCUUUAAAUUUGAUUGCAUCAGUAUAAGAAAUGUUUAACGAUUGUAACAACGUUUGUUAUUUUUUUGUAUUGUACACAAUAAAAAAGAUUUGUUAAAUAUAUUCGAGCACAUUAGAAGAGAU
rnacentral:lncRNA from 1 species